AUUGAACGCUGGCGGCAGGCUUAACACAUGCAAGUCGAGCGGGGGAAGGUAGCUUGCUACCGGACCUAGCGGCGGACGGGUGAGUAAUGCUUAGGAAUCUGCCUAUUAGUGGGGGACAACAUCUCGAAAGGGAUGCUAAUACCGCAUACGUCCUACGGGAGAAAGCAGGGGAUCUUCGGACCUUGCGCUAAUAGAUGAGCCUAAGUCGGAUUAGCUAGUUGGUGGGGUAAAGGCCUACCAAGGCGACGAUCUGUAGCGGGUCUGAGAGGAUGAACCGCCAAACUGGGACUGAGACCAGGCCCAGACUCCUACGGGAGGCAGCAGUGGGGAAUAUUGGACAAUGGGGGGAACCCUGAUCCAGCCAUGCCGCGUGUGUGAAGAAGGCCUUAUGGUUGUAAAGCACUUUAAGCGAGGAGGAGGCUACUUUAGUUAAUACCUAGAGAUAGUGGACGUUACUCGCAGAAUAAGCACCGGCUAACUCUGUGCCAGCCGCCGCGGUAA
rnacentral:rRNA from 1 species